AGGCUAUUUAAGAAUUGUAUUUGGAAAUGGAAGAAUCCUCGGAUUAAAUUAGAUCAAUAAACUAAUACUAGGGCAAGGAGGAGUAAACUUCCCAAAUAUUAUAAGACAUUACGAAGCCACUAUUAUAUAACAUACCCAGUUAUUAGGCAAAAAAUAUUCUGACAAAACAGGUUCAUUUGGACUAGAGACUCAACCAUUGAAUAGGC